UUUUUUUUUUUUUGGUCUUUUUAGGACCACACCUGUGGCAUAUGGAGGUCCCCAGGCUAAGGGUCGAAUCGGACCUGGAGCCCACUAGCCUAUGUCACAGCCACAGCCACAAGAACAUAGGAUCCGAGCCCCAUCUGCGACCUACACCACAGCUCAUGGCAGUGCUGGAUCCUUAACCUGUUGAGUGUGGCCAGGGAUUGAACCAGCAUCCUCAUGGAUACUAGUUGGAUUCAUUAACUGCUGAGCCACAAAGGGAACUCCCCACAGAUUUCUGAUUUUGAGCAGGGUACUGAGGAGUCCGUCUCAGGCAGGGGCUGGGGGACAAGCAGUGAAAGAGAAGGUUAUCUCUCAGAAAGAAACAUUUGAGAAGAAAUCUGAAGAUGGGGUUAAGCAUUAGCCAGGUAAAAAGAGAGAGAAAGAUUCAAGGCUAUGAGAAUGGCAUGUGCAAAUGUCCUGUGGUGGAUGACCUAUAGCAUGUUCAGUGUAGCUGGAGUAGAGAGGGAAAGUGACCCAAGGUGAGGCUGAGGGGUCGCCAGGGGCCGGACCCCUUGGGGCUCUGUGGACCAGGUGAGAGACUUGGACUUUUUGGACUUGAUCCCAAGAGCAGUGGAAAGAGUAAAGCCACAAGUGUGUGUGCGUGUGUGUGUGUGUGUGUGUGUGUGUGUGUGUUCAUUUUCAAUUCAGUAAACUUUAAUCUUUCUUUUCUUCUGUGCCAAAAGACCAGAUUUAAGCCUACAAAGGAAGAAAAGGCAGACAUCCAUAGCUCACCAGGUGUAGGAUAUGAAACUAAGCAGGGCCCUGUGUCCCCCAUUUUUUGUUUUUAGGAAAUGGGCCUCAUUCAGCCUCCAUGGCCUUCCCGGAGUUCCAAGGGGCAGGUUCAGACACUUGCUGAUCUUGGAAGGGAGGGGAUGCAGAGACAAGAGGUCAAGAAACUAUAGUGCAGCCUUGGGGCAGGGUCCUGGUUCCUCCUCAGAGGGUUUACAUAAUGAUGUAGGCAUCUUAUAUGCCUAAAAGAAAAAAUUAUGUUCCUUAUGCUUCUUUGCUUUUUUUUUUUUUUUAAGGGCUGCAUCCUUGGCAUGCUGUUUCCAGGCUAGGGGUUGAAUCAGAGCUACAGCUGCCAGCCUCCACCACAGCUCAUGGCAAUGCUGGAUCCUUAACCCACUGAGCGAGGCAGGGAUCGAACCCGCCUCCUCCUGGAUGCUAGUCAGAUUCAUUGCUGCUGCGCCACAAUGGGAGCUUCUCCUUAUGCUUCUUUUUUAGAAAUUAACAAAUCAGAAGUGAAUAUUUCAAAACCGAACGGCUUGGAGCCUUCCUUGUGCUUCUCCCUCAUUUAAUUGCACCCUAAACACAAUCACCUGUAAGCUAAAGAUUAGGCACUCUGAGCACAGUUGCCUGUGAGAUAAAGACGAUAAGCACAAGUUGUUUUUCAGGAACUUUCCUAGUUCUAAUCUCUGGUCAAUACGUCCUUUUUACAAGUACUGUUAUUCUAGGAAAAGUCAAGGUGUCAUAACCCAGAAGACUACCACCAGGAUCACCAGCUUCGAUGACUAAGAGUCCCCGAAAGAGGAGCAUGCAUGUCUGUCCCAACCCUGAUUCUUAUCUGAAACCCUAUUUUUCUCCGUUUAGACGCUAAAACUCUCUGCGGUUCUUCUCCAAGGGGGGCGCAGUCUUUAAGGCACUAGCCUGCUGGGGCCGCCUUUGCCUGGCAAAGCAAUAAAAGCUAUUUUUUUCCUCCUUCACCCAAAACUCUGUCUCUGUGUUUCUCUUCAGCAGCGGUGGACAGAGACCGAGUUUUGGCAACAGGGUCCCCUGGCCCAGGACGGGGUGCCAGCAGGGAGAUGGUAGGACCUGAAGUGCCUUAUUAACCUCUCCCUGGCUGCCGAGUGGAGAUGGACUUGGGUCAGGGGGCAGGAGUGGAGCUGGGAGACGGUGGUCCAGCCCGGGCCCACAGUUGUGGUGAGGGAGAGGCAGGCAGAGAUCCUGAGGGCUUGGGGGUCUCUUGGGGUGGGGCAGGAGAUCCAGCCUGUGGCUUUGACAGGUAAGAAGAGAGCCCAGAAAGGUGUGUGAGCCACUCUGGGUCAGGGUCACACAGCUCGUUACUGACUCAGGGCUCAGGUUCCUGGUAGCUGCUUUUGUAGCAUCCUUCUUCCAGGCCUUCUGGUGGCUGUGACCCCCCAACUCCCCCGUUGUGGGGUCUCUUGGCUUCAGGGGAUAGGGAGGCUUUAUGAGCACAGAUUCUGUCUUUGAAGUAUCUGUUGGGGAAGGGUGGUGCUCUGAUCUCUGAAUUCUUUCUCUGUGACCUCUGCACCCUCCCCAGGCUUUGAAGGAGGCCACAAAAGUGGGGCUAGAGCCCUGUGCCCACACAGUUCCUCACUGGGCAGGGCUGGGGGCCUUCCAAGGAUCCGAGGAGGAGAGAAAGGAGACACGGAGCCAAAGCCUGGGCCUCUGCCAAUAGGGUCUCCCCAGAAAUGAGACACCCCCUGAUCUAAACGUCUUGAACUGGAAACUACUGGCUGCCAUUUAGGAUUCCCCCACCCUACUCCAUCCCUGUUAACCCUCUGGCAAAUAAAACCUCUGAUGUCAAUUAAAUUAAUUUCUAGCUCUGCAGGGCUCUCCUCACUCCCCCACUCUGGUCUAAACCAUCCCUCCCAGGAUCCCAGAAAGGCAUACCUCCCCCGUCGUCAACCUCACUCCCUCCAUGCCGGAGCCCCCAUUGUCCUCUUUGGGGUUCAGGUCCCUGUUCUCCAGAGCCCACUCUCCCCUCAGGACCCUUCUCCUGGCCCCUGGACCUUGGAUCCAGAUCUGAUCUUUCUGUCUGGGGACUGGGUCCCCCGCUCUCCUGGAGAUGAGACACAUACACACCUACACACACACACACACCCCAGGGACUGGAUCCUUCUUGCUCUGACAUUGUAGGUGCUCAAGAAAUGUGUUCUUGAGUUCCCCUUGUGCCUCAGCAGGUUAAGGACCUGACAUUGUCUCUGUGAGGAUGCAGAUUUGAUCCCUGGCCUGGUUCAGUGGGUUAAGUAUCCGGCGUUGCCAUGAGCGGUGGUAUAGGUCACAGAUGCAGCUCGGAUCUGGCGUUGCUGUGCCUGUGGUGUAGGCUGGCAGUUAUAACUCCAGUUUGACCCCUAGCCUGGGAACUUCCAUAUGCUGCAGGUACAGACAUAAAAAAAAAAAA
ensembl:lncRNA